GAUGAACGCUAGCGGCAGGCCUAACACAUGCAAGUCGAGGGGUAACAGGAGAAAGCUUGCUUUUUCGCUGACGACCGGCGCACGGGUGCGUAACGCGUAUGCAACCUACCCUGUACUGGGGAAUAGCCCGGAGAAAUCCGGAUUAAUGCCCCAUAGUAUCAUUCUUUCGCCUGAUAGAAUGAUUAAAGGUUACGGUACAGGAUGGGCAUGCGUCCCAUUAGCUAGAUGGUAAGGUAACGGCUUACCAUGGCAACGAUGGGUAGGGGGCCUGAGAGGGUGAUCCCCCACACUGGUACUGAGACACGGACCAGACUCCUACGGGAGGCAGCAGUGAGGAAUAUUGGACAAUGGAGGCAACUCUGAUCCAGCCAUGCCGCGUGCAGGAAGAAUGCCCUAUGGGUUGUAAACUGCUUUUAUUUGGGAAUAAACCUCCUUACGUGUAGGGAGCUGAAUGUACCAAACGAAUAAGGACCGGCUAACUCCG
rnacentral:rRNA from 1 species